rnacentral:rRNA from 1 species
ACGUGGGCAAUCUGCGCUGCACUCUGGGACAAGCCCUGGAAACGGGGUCUAAUACCGGAUACAACCACUGACCGCAUGGUCGGGUGGUGGAAAGCUCCGGCGGUGCAGGAUGAGCCCGCGGCCUAUCAGCUUGUUGGUGAGGUAGUGGCUCACCAAGGCGACGACGGGUAGCCGGCCUGAGAGGGCGACCGGCCACACUGGGACUGAGACACGGCCCAGACUCCUACGGGAGGCAGCAGUGGGGAAUAUUGCACAAUGGGCGAAAGCCUGAUGCAGCGACGCCGCGUGAGGGAUGACGGCCUUCGGGUUGUAAACCUCUUUCAGCAGGGAAGAAGCGAAAGUGACGGUACCUGCAGAAGAAGCGCCGGCUAACUACGUGCCAGCAGCCGCGGUAAUACGUAGGGCGCAAGCGUUGUCCGGAAUUAUUGGGCGUAAAGAGCUCGUAGGCGGCUUGUCGCGUCGGUUGUGAAAGCCCGGGGCUUAACCCCGGGUCUGCAGUCGAUACGGGCAGGCUAGAGUUCGGUAGGGGAGAUCGGAAUUCCUGGUGUAGCGGUGAAAUGCGCAGAUAUCAGGAGGAACACCGGUGGCGAAGGCGGAUCUCUGGGCCGAUACUGACGCUGAGGAGCGAAAGCGUGGGGAGCGAACAGGAUUAGAUACCCUGGUAGUCCACGCCGUAAACGGUGGGCACUAGGUGUGGGCAACAUUCCACGUUGUCCGU